GCCAGCCCCUGCCAUGCCCCCUGGCCACACGCUCAUGCCUGAGAACCAGCGGCUGGAAACACUGAGCAGUUGGCUCCAAAGCCAGAGCCAGCUGCUGCGUGAGCUAAUAUUGCUGCCUGCCGGGGCAGACUCACUAAGAGCCCAAGGCCACCGUGCUGAGCUGGACAGGAAGUUGGUGCAGGUAGAAGAGGCCAUCAAGAUUUUUUCCCGACCCAAAGUCUUUGUAAAGAUGGAUGCCUAAGCCCCUUUGUGGGAGUGGUGGCAGAGAGAGCCACAGAAAGAUUGCCACAUGGCUGCAAAGGACAGGGUUGUGCCCUAUCACAGAAUGGCAGUCUGAAGACAGGAGCCAUGGGGUGGGCAGUGUCCCCAAAGCAUUUGUCCCAGCCACCAAUGGCUGUGGAAGAGCCAUUCCAGCCUUUAAGCCCUUGAUCAAAAUUAAAACUUUUGUACACAGUA